GAAGACGGUUUCCUCUUCGGAGGCACCUGCACAGGUGCUGCAUGGCUGUCGUCAGCUCGUGUCGUGAGAUUGUUGGGUUAAGUCCCCGCAACGAGCGCAACCCUUAUCCCCAGUUGCCAUCAGGUAAAGCUGGGAACUCUGGGGAGACUGCCGGUGAUAAACCGGAGGAAGGCGGGGAUGACGUCAAGUCCUCAUGGCCCUUACAUCCCGGGCUACACACGUGCUACAAUGGCAGGUACAGAGGGCUGCGAAGCCGCGAGGUGGAGCGAAUCCCAGAAAACCUGUCUCAGUCCGGAUUGAAGUCUGCAACUCGACUUCAUGAAGGCGGAAUCGCUAGUAACCGCGAAUCAGCAGGUCGCGGUGAAUACGUUCCCGGGCCUU
rnacentral:rRNA from 1 species